AUGUAUACGACUCACUAUAGGGCGAAUUGGGCCCGACGUCGCAUGCUCCCGGCCGCCAUGGCGGCCGCGGGAAUUCGAUUAGAGUUUGAUCAUGGCUCAGAACGAACGCUGGCGGCGUGGAUAAGACAUGCAAGUCGAACGCUGGCUUCAGGGUAGCAAUAUUCUGAAGUCGGAGUGGCGCAAGGGUGCGUAACACGUGGGUAAUUUGCCGUGAAGUUUGGGGUAACUCGCUGAAAGGCGAGCUAAUACCGGAUGUGACUGUCUGGAGGCAUCUCUGGACAUUUAAAGUUGGGGACCGCAAGGCCUGACGCUUCAUGAUAAACCCGCGGCCUAUCAGCUAGUUGGUGAGGUAACGGCCCACCAAGGCUAAGACGGGUAGCUGGUCUGAGAGGACGACCAGCCACACUGGAACUGAGACACGGUCCAGACACCUACGGGUGGCAGCAGUCGAGGAUUUUUCACACUGAGCGAAAGCUUGAUGGAGCGACGCCGCGUGGGGGAUGAAGGGCUUCGGUCUGUAAACCCCUGUCAUUUGCGAACAAACCUUCUCGUGAACAGACGGGAAGCUGAUAGUAGUGAAAGAGGAAGUACG
rnacentral:rRNA from 1 species